UGGGGAAUAUUGGACAAUGGGCGAAAGCCUGAUCCAGCAAUGCCGCGUGAGUGAUGAAGGCCUUAGGGUUGUAAAGCUCCUUUACCCGGGAUGAUAAUGACAGUACCGGGAGAAUAAGCUCCGGCUAACUCCGUGCCAGCAGCCGCGGUAAUACGGAGGGAGCUAGCGUUAUUCGGAAUUACUGGGCGUAAAGCGCACGUAGGCGGCUUUGUAAGUAAGAGGUGAAAGCCCAGAGCUCAACUCUGGAAUUGCCUUUUAGACUGCAUCGCUUGAAUCAUGGAGAGGUCAGUGGAAUUCCGAGUGUAGAGGUGAAAUUCGUAGAUAUUCGGAAGAACACCAGUGGCGAAGGCGGCUGACUGGACAUGUAUUGACGCUGAGGUGCGAAAGCGUGGGGAGCAAACA
rnacentral:rRNA from 1 species